UUUCAAGUCAACUUUAAGAUUUAUGCAUUCUAAAGGCAUGAGGCCUAGUUGCUCUUCAAUCAAUUUUAGCAUUCUAAAGGCAUGAGACCUAGUUGUUCUUGAACUCCAUUAGAUUAGGUGUCCACAAACAAAUACAAAACAAGCACAAGGCAAUAAUAUUUUUACACAAUAAUGUGCUCAAGUGAGCAAAAGGAAAAUAGCAUAAACAUAAACAUGAGCUCAAAUGAGCAAAAGGAAAAGACAAUAUGA
rnacentral:lncRNA from 1 species